ensembl:lncRNA
AUGGGGUCAGGGCGGGCGAGGAGCCGCGCGGAGCGGCGGGGAAUGGACGCGUGGAGGCGGAGGUCACUUACCGUGUCCUGGCCGGGCCGCCGCUGUCCUGGCCCCAGUUCCGCAAGGCCUGAAAUAGUCGCAGACUGUGCCCCGCCCCGCCUGCCCCGCCCCCCGCAACCGCGGAAAACCCGCGGGCGGAGGCCAAUGCCCAGUGCGGCCCGGCUGUGUCUCUGCGUCCCGGGGGCUGGGCGCGCCCGGCCUGCCCAGCGGGGGAUGCGGGGCGCGGUCACUUCCUCCCAGCAGCCGGGCAGGGGCGGGGGGCUGGCCGCACGUCGCAUGGUAUGUGGAGUUCGGGAGUCCGAAGGACGGGGCUGUCAGGCGCGGGGCCAUUGUCGGACGACGGCUCCUGAUAGGCCGCCUGGAAGGGGCGCGCUUGGCCGCGUUCCUGCGUCACAGACUGGCUCCAGCUGCGGGAGCGCCACUCCCACUCCAACUCCCCCAGCCGCCCCUCUAAAGUGUUCCGGUAUCACCGCGGCCACAAGGACACAGGGCACGGGGGCUUCCCGGAGGAGGCCCCCUAAGGGGAAGGGGGCUACACGGCUGGCCAGAGUGCUGGCCGCGCGGCUGUGCACAGGACCUGGAGCCCCUCCCGUCGUCAAGCCUUGCUUGAAAUGCGUAAAUGCGGAAAGGGCUAGGGCUGGACCCACAGGCUGCUGGAACAGGCAGAAGGGGAGGGGUCCAAAGCCCAGACUCCAGGGCCUCGUCUUAAUCAUCAAGCCGACUUUGCCCACUCCGCGCAGGCCUCCGUUUCCAGGCCUGUUUCCCCAUGCAAACUGUCUCUCAGGGUCUGUCUUGGGAGAUGUGGAGGUGGGGCAUGUGGGGAGGAUGGAAGGGGGCUGUGAAGGGAACCCACUGGAGAUUAACUUCCUUCCUUAUUUCACACGCUAGGAAUUUCUGCCCUCUGGAAAGGCCCCCGUCAUUUAGGAAUUUCCCGCUGGGCACGGGCUUCCCUCCUGCCUCACUGGGGCCUCUGCUCCUCCCCUCUUUUGUUUGGCCUCUUUCCCCGCCCCCUGCUCACUCUGCUAUUCCCUCUCCAGCCUAGCAACAGGUCUUCCAGGACCAGGGGGGCCAGCGGAGUGGGGGCGGUGUGGGUUCAGGGUGCCCUGGGAACUGAGAACUUCCUCUUCAAGGGUGGUGGCCAAGCGCCAGGUUUGCACUUGGAUUGCCAUCCAUCCUGUCUCUGGGGAACCUGUGGGGGAGCGGAUGCAGGAGGCCGCCAGGAUGGGGCGUUAAGGCUGCCAACCCCACCCCUUCUCUCCUAGGGCUCCAGGGAUGACAUUUUUCAGAUGAGUCCACAGAGCCACAGUGUCCUGGGGCUGGGAGGGUCCUUCCAUCGGCACUGCACAGAUGGAAUUCAUCCACACAGGGGCGAUGGGGAAACCGCCUGAGGGGCCCUGGCCCGUGGCUGCCUUCAUGGCUGGCUGCUGUGGCCUCAUUGUGCAAUCCCCACAAGACUCUCCUGCCAGACUCUGUUCCCCCACCCCACCCCACCCCACCUCCCCUCCCAGCCCCAAGCAGAUCGGGAAAUUGCUUGGAAGUCUGUAUCUGCCAGGAGGGCGUUGUCAGGCCUUAGGCCCUACUGUCCCCUUGGAGGCAGCCCCUGGUCUGCACAGGCUUUGCAGGGCUGAGGAGGGGCUGCCACCCUUGUCACCCACUGACGGCAGUGGCCCACCCAGAGCACCGGCCGGGGAUUGGGAAAUGAGGCUGCUGCCUUGGACUUUUGUCUGCACCAGUCACUCCCCUUCUCUAAGCUCAGGCAUGAGGGUCAAUGGUCACAUGCGUGAAGUUCUCAAGACAAAGAAAGUCUUCUGAAAAUGGGGCAGCAUGGAGGGCCAAGGGAUGACAGCCAAUGGG